CAAAAUGUCAUGCAAGUUUAUUGUCAACAUCCGUACGCGUAAAUCAAUUACCUUAAAUAAAUGUAUAAUCAUAUGAUUAUAAAAGCAUUCGGGUAGUUGUGAAAUAAGUUGUGGUAAAAUAGAGGAACAUUUUAGUUACCAUCGUGAUCACAAAUUAUGUACCAUAUAUAACUCUCUUUAAAAUACUAAUUACGUUCUGCUGUACCGAUAAGGCAUCACAUAUAAAUCAAAGAAUGACUUAAAACAUUUAUGUAAGGUUUACCUGUAACAGUUUACAUUCGGUUCAUGAAAUACAAGAAAAAAAA